ACCUGCCCAGUGAUUAAAAUUUAACGGCCGCGGUACUCUGACCGUGCAAAGGUAGAUCAAUCAUUUGCCUUAUAAUUGAAGGCUAGUAUGAAAGGUUUGACGAGAGUUAUUCUGUCUCUUUUUAAUUAUAAUGAAAUUAACUUAAAAGUGCAAAGGCUUGCAUGUGAUUAAAAGACAAGAAGACCCUGUUGAGCUUUAAGGAUCUUAAUAAAUUGUAUUAUAUUUUAAUAAGAUUAUAAUUUAUUAAAUCUUUUGGUUGGGGCGACUUUGGAACAAUUAAAGCUUCCUAAAUCUAAAUUAUAUAUAGUUCGUAAAUUUGUGAUCCAAAGACUUUUUGAUUAAUAGAAUUAGUUACCACAGGGAUAACAGCAUAAUUUUUCUUAAGAGUUCUAAUCGAAAGAAAAGAUUGUGACCUCGAUGUUGGACUAGAGUAACUGAAGGGUGCAGAAGCUUUUAGUAGUUGGUC
rnacentral:rRNA from 1 species